ACGAACGCUGGCGGCGUGCUUAAUACAUGCAAGUCAUAGGGCGAAGCUCUUCGGAGCCUAGCACUGGCGCACGGGUGAGUAACACGUAAGUCAUCUGCCCUUGGGUCGGGCACAACCUCGGGAAACCGGGGCUAAUUCCCGAUGAUAUCGAAAGAUCAAAGGUUUCGACUGCCCAAGGAUGAGCUUGCGUCUGAUUAGCUAGUUGGCGGGGUAAUGGCCCACCAAGGCUACGAUCAGUAGCCGGUCUGAGAGGAUGAUCGGCCACAUUGGGACUGAGACACGGCCCAGACUCCUACGGGAGGCAGCAGUAAGGAAUAUUGCGCAAUGGACGAAAGUCUGACGCCAGCAACGCCGCGUGUAGGAUGAAGGCCCUUUGGGUCGUAAACUACUGUAGCAGGGGACUAAUGGCCGCCUCGGGCGGACGAGAAGGUACCCUGAAAGUAAGCUCC
rnacentral:rRNA from 1 species